rnacentral:rRNA from 1 species
CAUGCNNNNNNAGCGAUGGAUUAGAGCUUGCUCUUAUGAAGUUAGCGGCGGACGGGUGAGUAACACGUGGGUAACCUGCCCAUAAGACUGGGAUAACUCCGGGAAACCGGGGCUAAUACCGGAUAACAUUUUGAACCGCAUGGUUCGAAAUUGAAAGGCGGCUUCGGCUGUCACUUAUGGAUGGACCCGCGUCGCAUUAGCUAGUUGGUGAGGUAACGGCUCACCAAGGCAACGAUGCGUAGCCGACCUGAGAGGGUGAUCGGCCACACUGGGACUGAGACACGGCCCAGACUCCUACGGGAGGCAGCAGUAGGGAAUCUUCCGCAAUGGACGAAAGUCUGACGGAGCAACGCCGCGUGAGUGAUGAAGGCUUUCGGGUCGUAAAACUCUGUUGUUAGGGAAGAACAAGUGCUAGUUGAAUAAGCUGGCACCUUGACGGUACCUAACCAGAAAGCCACGGCUAACUACGUGCCAGCAGCCGCGGUAAUACGUAGGUGGCAAGCGUUAUCCGGAAUUAUUGGGCGUAAAGCGCGCGCAGGUGGUUUCUUAAGUCUGAUGUGAAAGCCCACGGCUCAACCGUGGAGGGUCANUGGAAACUGGGNNA